rnacentral:misc_RNA from 1 species
GAUGAAGAACGCAGCGAAAUGCGAUAAGUAGUGUGAAUUGCAGAAUUCAGUGAAUCAUCGAAUCUUUGAACGCACAUUGCGCCCCUUGGUAUUCCAUGGGGCAUGCCUGUUCGAGCGUCAUUUGUACCCUCAAGCUUUGCUUGGUAUUGGGUGUUUGUCCCGCGUUGCGCGUGGACUCGCCUUAAAGCGAUUGGCAGCCGGCAUAUUGGCCUUGGAGCGCAGCACAUUUUGCGCUUCUAGUCAUGAAUGUUGGCGUCCAUUAAGCCUAUACAUUUGCUCUUGACCUCGGAUCAGGUAGGGAUACCCGCUGAACUUAAGCAUAUCAAUAAGCGGAGGA